AUUGAACGCUGGCGGCAUGCCUUACACAUGCAAGUCGAACGGCAGCAUGGAGAGCUUGCUCUCUGAUGGCGAGUGGCGAACGGGUGAGUAAUGCAUCGGAACGUACCGUGUAAUGGGGGAUAACGUAGCGAAAGUUACGCUAAUACCGCAUACGACCUAAGGGUGAAAGCAGGGGAUCGCAAGACCUUGCGUUAUACGAGCGGCCGAUGUCAGAUUAGCUAGUUGGUGAGGUAAAGGCUCACCAAGGCGACGAUCUGUAGCGGGUCUGAGAGGAUGAUCGCCACACUGGGACUGAGACACGGCCCAGACUCCUACGGGAGGCAGCAGUGGGGAAUUUUGGACAAUGGGGGCAACCCUGAUCCAGCCAUGCCGCGUGAGUGAAGAAGGCCUUCGGGUUGUAAAGCUCUUUCGGCCGGGAAGAAAUCGCACAGGCUAAUACUCUGUGUGGAUGACGGUACCGGCAUAAGAAGCACCGGCUAACUACGUGCCAGCCGCCGCGGUAA
rnacentral:rRNA from 1 species